UAAGGAAUAUUGCGCAAUGGGCGACAGCCUGACGCAGCGACGCCGCGUGGGGGAUGAAGGUCUUCGGAUUGUAAACCCCUUUCGGGAGGGAAGAUGGAACGGGUAACCGUUCGGACGGUACCUCCAGAAGCAGCCACGGCUAACUUCGUGCCAGCAGCCGCGGUAAUACGAAGGUGGCAAGCGUUGUUCGGAUUUACUGGGCGUACAGGGAGCGUAGGCGGUUGGGUAAGCCCUCCGUGAAAUCUCCGGGCCUAACCCGGAAAGUGCGGAGGGGACUGCUCGGCUAGAGGAUGGGAGAGGAGCGCGGAAUUCCCGGUGUAGCGGUGAAAUGCGUAGAGAUCGGGAGGAAGGCCGGUGGCGAAGGCGGCGCUCUGGAACAUUUCUGACGCUGAGGCUCGAAAGCGUGGGGAGCAAACAGGAUUAGAUACCCUGGUAGUCCACGCCUUAAACGAUGGAUACUAAGUGUCGGCGGGUUACCGCCGGUGCCGCAGCUAACGCAGUAAGUAUCCCGCCUGGGAAGUACGGCCGCAAGGUUGA
rnacentral:rRNA from 1 species